rnacentral:rRNA from 1 species
AGCGAACGCUGGCGGCAGGCUUAACACAUGCAAGUCGAACGCACCUUCGGGUGAGUGGCAGACGGGUGAGUAACACGUGGGAACGUACCCUUUGGUCUGGAAUAACUCUGGGAAACUAGAGCUAAUACCGGAUACGCCCUUUUGGGGAAAGGUUUACUGCCGAAGGAUCGGCCCGCGUCUGAUUAGCUAGUUGGUGGGGUAACGGCCUACCAAGGCGACGAUCAGUAGCUGGUCUGAGAGGAUGAUCAGCCGCACUGGGACUGAGACACGGCCCAGACUCCUACGGGAGGCAGCAGUGGGGAAUAUUGGACAAUGGGCGCAAGCCUGAUCCAGCCAUGCCGCGUGAGUGAUGAAGGCCUUAGGGUUGUAAAGCUCCUUUGUCCGGGACGAUAAUGACGGUACCGGAAGAAUAAGCCCCGGCUAACUUCGUGCCAGCAGCCGCGGUAA